rnacentral:rRNA from 1 species
GGCUUAGUGGUGAACGGGUGAGUAACAUGUAUCAAUCUUACCCUUAAAGAUUGGGAUAACUAGUCGAAAGAUUAGCUAAUACCGAAUAAUGACAUUCUUUUGCAUGAAAGAAUGUAGAAAGUUGCGUUUGCAGCGCUUUUGGAUGAGGGUGCGACGUAUCAGAUAGUUGGUGAGGUAACGUCUCACCAAGUCAUUGACGCGUAGCUGUACUGAGAGGUAGAACAGCCACAAUGGGACUGAGACACGGCCCAUACUCCUACGGGAGGCAGCAGUAGGGAAUUUUUCACAAUGGGCGAAAGCCUUAUGAAGCAAUGCCGCGUGAACGAUGAAGGUCUAUAAGAUUGUAAAGUUCUUUUAUUUGGGAAGAACCACUAAAAUAGGAAAUGAUUUUAGUUUGACUGUACCAUUUGAAUAAGUAUCGGCUAACUAUGUGCCAGCAGCCGCGGUAAUACAUAGGAUGCAAGCGUUAUCCGGAUUUACUGGGCGUAAAACGAGCGCAGGCGGAUUUGUAAGUUUGGUAUGAAAUCUAGAUGCUUAACGUCUAGCUGUAUCAAAAACUACGAAUCUAGAGUGUAGCAGAGAGUUGGGGAACUCCAUGUGGAGCGGUAAAAUGGGUAGAUAUAUGGAAGAACACCGGUGGCGAAGGCGCC